GUUAGUCUUUUUCAGUUGCUGAAAAUUAGACAAAUUGAAUUUUCUAAAUAUCAGUUUAAAGUUUGCUGUAUGGUCAGUCUGAAUUUGCAAAUCGCCAACUAAAGUGAUCCCAUACCAUUUAUCAUAUGAUCAGCAUGUUCUAACUUUGUUUGAACAAAAAGAAAAAGGGCAUAAAAGAUGCGAGGAGGUCCAAGUGCUGGUUUCUGGUGCCGACAGUCCUGUCAAUCCACCACAGUAUCACACCAAACAUGAUAGAAAUGAUGCAAAUAAAAAAUGAAGUGAAACACUUGGGCUUCUCACUUUAAAAAGGUGGAAUUUGUAAAAUAAGCAACAAAAAAGCUGAGUGCCAGGGAAAAAAUAACAGUUUUUGCAUGUUUCUUUGACAAUCAAUAAACAAAACUUGAAGUCAUUGAGCCACUAAUGCAAAGCAAAUUCCCAGAAGACUACCCCAGCUGAAAGUAGCAAUCAUAAUUUCUCUUGGUGUUUGGUUGUAAUCUAUUGUAACAAUAUAUGUACUUUUCUAAACAGAUAUAUAUAAAAUUUGACCUGCGGGGGGUAAGACAGCCCCCGGGCAUUGCAUUUAAGAAGAAGACCUUCUCACGCAGGUCAAGAAAACCCCCGAACCCCUGCCCCAUCCUUACACAGAUAUAUAUGUCUCUGUAUUUUUUUGUCUUAGCAUCAUAAUAAAAAUGUUAUUCCUCAUAGACCAAGUGAUCUGUUCUACCCGGCCGGCAGUGGCAAAAUGAUCUAAAUUUGCAACGGUCAACUUGGCUAUCAGUGAGCCAAUCAGAGUCAAUUUAGUCACUACCAUAUUUUAUUUUGUUUUCUGAGUCAUCCAUGACAUGGGUUACUUUUUUUAGGAUGUAUCACAUGCUAGUAUUUUUGCUUUAACGAGUGCAGACAGCUUGCACUGACGACCCAGCCUUUCUGACUGGUUCAUUUUAACGAAAUGUGCCUGUUUUUUUAGCAUGGUGGCACUGGGAUCAUUAUUUUAGGAAACAUGAAGAUCUGAUUUUGAUUUUGAUAAGACCAGAUGGAUGAUCAUUGCUGCUGCAGCAGCACCUGCAAUCUCUUUUGAAGUGCAGUAGAUCUGAAAAGCGUGGAUGAUAUGAGCAGCAGCAUUCAGUGGGGGCCCGGGGCAUCUGGUUGCAAGGUUGGAGAUGGGUACAAUGAUUGCUGGUUUGCAGUAGAUGAGGUGGGCGAGCCUUAGAAGGCUAGUAACAUCAGAGCUGUACACACACACACACACAGUAGCAGGAAGCAGCUAGCCUAGGUGGUGUACCAUGGGAUUCGUUCCUGCUAGUUGCUGGGCACAUGAUUCUUCAUGCAUGCACAAGCCCAAGAAGAGGGGCAUGCACUCGGUACGACCUUUAUAUGAUGGUGUACGUCCUUGAUACAGAGAGGCAUGUAAAGAUACAGUACAUCUAACUAGAAGUGAGAUUGUUUGCAUCAAUUAGCUAGUGGCUGCCAAGGGGUCGUCGGCUGGAAUGGAAGAAGCUAAGAGCGCAUCCACCCACAGCUAGCCAACACUGAACAUCGACAUCGGUGCUCUCAACUAGCUCUAAAAAGUUUGGUCGGCCACAUUGGACCUGCUAGCUGAUCUACAAGGUUACAAGGAGUCGAGGACAAGCAAAAAGGUACAGCCUGAUCCCUCAACAACCUCACCAAACCUAUAUAUAUGCAGCGUAGGUGGCACGGCACGGCCGACAAAUAAUAAUUCAGUAUAUCUGAAUGAUUGAAUCCAUAUA